rnacentral:snoRNA from 1 species
GUUCCCUAUGGUGAGGACUUUUUCACACACCUGUACUGAGAUCCGUGAGGAUGAGUAACUCUGAGGGAAA